ensembl:miRNA MIR105-1 microRNA 105-1
GAGUGUGCAUCGUGGUCAAAUGCUCAGACUCCUGUGGUGGCUGUUCAUGCACCACGGAUGUUUGAGCAUGUGCUACGGUGUCUACUU